AUGGCACAGAGAGAGCAACAAGUUCUGGGAGAUGCAAUCUGGAAGGCGAAGGUACCCGAGAAGGUCAAGGUGUUUGGUUGGAGAAUAGUCACAAACUCGCUCGCUACAAAACACAAUGCGUUCAGAAGGACAAUAGCUGAUGAUAGUGUUUGUGGAAUAUGUGGGAGAUGUGCUGAAGAUGAAUACCAUGCUGUUAUCACUUGCACUAGGAGCGUAGCCCUUCGGCAAGCUAUGAGAGCCUUCUGGGAGAUGCCCAAAGAAUCUGAUUUUAGAUACACUGGUCUGGAUUGGUUACAACUGCUGCUGCUGUCCCAGGUUGAGGAGGUCAGGACCAAGUUAAUGCUAAUUAUGUGGCAAGCUUGGAGUUUAAGGAAUAAUGUAGUUCACGGCGAUAGAAAAGACACGGUAUUAGGCUCUGUUCAAUUCUUACUCAGACUCCAUGAUGAUCUCCAGAUGGCGGCAUGCGAUCCGUUGAGCGAGGGCGAUAAAUGUAAACGGUCUAUGUUCCCAACCAAACCAUGCAUCCCGAAUACCUCUGAACCUAAGGAUUGGAGUGCCCCUUCCCCCGACAGAGUUAAGCUUAACACUGAUGCUGCAUUCCUAGUGGAUACGGGAGAAGCGUUGGGCGGCGCGGUAGCCAGAGACCACAAGGGCGAUGUUUUCCUUUCAAUGGGAAGACGACUACCCAUUUGCAGCUCAAUGGAAGAGGCAGAAGCUGCGACAGUGUGGAUGGGCCUAACUGAAUUUGCUAAGUUUUUCCAUGGAAACUUGAUCCUGGAGACGGAUUGCGCUGGUUUCGCUCGGGACCUGAAAGCGAAGGAGAAUUGCAGAUCGGCUUGUCAUGCUUGUAUUGCUGACGUCAAGGUCCUUCUACGGGGUUUCUUGCAAUCGGAGAUCAGUGCUAUUGGAAAGGAGAAGAACAAGCUGGUCCAUGAGCUACCUUCGAAGUCACGAAGAUCAGGAGAUUUUCUGAUGGUCGCUGAUGUCCCGGCUGAUAUUAGAGUUGUAAUGAGGAAAGAGUAUGUUCCUACCAUGGUGUAG
rnacentral:rRNA from 1 species